UACGUAGGGUGCAAGCGUUAAUCGGAAUUACUGGGCGUAAAGCGUGCGCAGGCGGUUAUGUAAGACCGAUGUGAAAUGCCCGGGCUUAACCUGGGAACUGCAUUUGUGACUGCAUGGCUAGAGUUUGGCAGAGGGGGGUAGAAUUCCACGUGUAGCAGUGAAAUGCGUAGAUAUGUGGAGGAACACCGAUGGCGAAGGCAGCCCCCUGGGUCAAGACUGACGCUCAUGCACGAAAGCGUGGGGAUCAAACAGG
rnacentral:rRNA from 1 species